rnacentral:rRNA from 1 species
AAUCUGCUCAAUGAUUAAAAUUAAAUAGCUGCGGUAUUUUGACCGUACAAAGGUAGCAUAAUCAAUAGUUUUUUAAUUGAAAGCUAGAAUGAAUGAUUUAAUGAAAUAUAAACUGUUUCAAAUUUAUUAGUUGAAUUUUUUUUAUUAAUUAAAAAAUUAAUAUGAAUUUAAAAGACGAGAAGACCCUAUAGAGUUUAAUUAAUUAAUUUUAUAUUUUAUAAUUUAUUUUGAAGUUAAAUAUAAUUUAAUUAAUUUGAUUGGGGUGAUUAAAAAAUUUAUAUAACUUUUUUAAAAAAUAAACAUAAAUUAAUGAUUUUUUGAUCUUAUUAUUUAGAUUAAAAGAAUAAAUUACCUUAGGGAUAACAGCGUAAUUUUAUUGGAGAGAUCAUAUUGAUAAUAAAGGUUGCGACCUCGAUGUUGAAUUAAGAUUAAAUUUAAAUGGAGAAGUUUUAAAUUUUUGGUCUGUUCGCCAUUAAAAUCUUCAUGAUUUGAGUCAAACC